rnacentral:rRNA from 1 species
AGAGUUUGAUCCUGGCUUAGGAUGAACGCUAGCUACAGGCUUAACACAUGCAAGUCGAGGGGCAGCAUUGGAGUAGCAAUACUUCAGAUGGCGACCGGCGCACGGGUGAGUAACACGUAUCCAACCUGCCGCUUACUCGGGGAUAGCCUUUCGAAAGAAAGAUUAAUACCCGAUGGUAUAAAGAGUUCGCAUGUUCUCUUUAUUAAAGAAUUUCGGUAAGCGAUGGGGAUGCGUUCCAUUAGAUUGUUGGCGGGUAACGGCCCACCAAGUCUACGAUGGAUAGGGGUUCUGAGAGGAAGGUCCCCCACAUUGGAACUGAGACACGGUCCAAACUCCUACGGGAGGCAGCAGUGAGGAAUAUUGGUCAAUGGACGAGAGUCUGAACCAGCCAAAAGUAGCGUGAAGGAUGACUGCCCUAUGGGUUGUAAACUUCUUUUAUAAGGGAAUAAAGUGAGGGACGUGUCCCUUUUUGUAUGUACCUUAUGAAUAAGGAUCGGCUAACUCCGUGCCAGCCGCCGC